rnacentral:tmRNA from 1 species
CCGCAGACGGGACACAGAGCCUGCUUCAAAAAUUCUUUCGGACCCCGAUAGAGGGACCUGAAUUUACUCGCUUGGUAAGAGAUUAUUUUGCAGGGGAGAUCAGGAACUUUUUCCUGGGUGACAAUGAUUUUGGGCAGGGUAAUUUUCUAAUGUUUGGAGCUGUUUGUAGAUGUGGAUAUUUUCCAGAAGAUUCAUUGCUGACCAGAACCAGAGUUUCCAUCAAGGGUGGUGGGUUGUCUUUAAUUGAAAUUCCUGACUUUACAGUGUCUAGAGGACCGUGGCAGUUUAUCUGAAAAUGGCGACCCAAACCAUGGACGUGGAGCCUGUUCAGACCGUGAACGCAAUUGAUGCCGCCAUCGCCGAGCUGAAGCUGAUGGCCGGCCACAGCCAUGAAGCUAAUGUGCUGGCUGGCAGGCUGCUUCAUUUUAAGAUGAGAGAAGUUUGUACCCAGACUGUGGCUCAGUUUCUGGAUGCCUUUUCCAGCGUGUUGGAUGAAGGGCUGUGUGCCUUUAUUGGAAACUACAGCCAGAGUUUGGAUGAGAUGGUUCAGCGGUAUGUGUCUGGGGGCUUUGCGGCUGUGAAGGAAAAUGGUUAUCUGGCAGCUGCUAGGUUUUAUGACACCUAUGUGCUUAGAAAUGAUGUCAAGUAUGAGAGUGUCCCCCACAUGUUUAUGCGCAUUUCGGCAUUUUGUGCUUAUCACUGCAUACAGAAUGAGUGUCUCUUCAAGACCUUGAAGCAUAUGGAGCUAGACAGGGGGAAUGUUGUGGAGAAUGCCAUGGAUUUGAUUACUUAUUUCUUUGAGAUGAUUGCUUCUCAGCAGGUGUGCUGUGCCACGCCCGUGAUGAGAUCCGCUGGUUUGAGGGAUGCUAAUUUAAGUAGUUGUUUCAUCUUUGCCCCCGCCCUGGACUCUGAGGAAAAAACUGUGGAUGCAGUGUUUUCUGAGUUAACAAAGCUGUUGGCGUGUAAGUCGGGAGUGGGUAUGGAUCUGUCCACCUACUCUCAUGGAAAGAACCUGCAUGCUGUCCUGAAGGCCCUUGAUGGACAGAUCACUUACUUUAAUGAUCACAAUAUUAGGCCCGUCAGCGUGGCUGCCUAUAUGGAGAUUUGGCAUACCAACAUCAUGGACUUUCUGACUGCGAAGCUUCCAGAGAACCCAGAACGAUGUGGCAACUUAUUUCAAGGAGUGUGCAUACCAGAGAUUUUCUUCAGAACCUACAAAAAUGAUCCAGAGUCCAAUUGGUACCUGUUUGAUCCCAAGAAGGCCGAAGUCCUAACAAACACCUAUGGGUAUAUGUUUAGUAUAGCCUACGCAGGAUUAGUGGAGCAGGGGGCAUAUGAAGCAGUGGUUCCCAUUAAGAGCGUGAUGUUCGCUCUUGUUUCCUGCAUAAUAAAGACUGGGGGGCCUUAUAUUUUGAACAAGAAAGCUAUAAACAGACAUGACUGGCAUGAAUGGUCCACACAUCAGUAUAGGGCCAUUAAUUGUGCAAAUCUUUGUGCAGAGGUGAUACAGUAUCCAGGAGAGAACGUGUCCACCUGUAACCUGGCCAAUAUCUGUCUGCCAAAGUGUUUGGAGGAUGACAAAUUUGUCUCUGGAAAGAGUUGUCUACUCACGUACGAGCGUGAGUUUUCCAUUGAGAGGCUGGAGAGGGCCACAGAGGCUGCAGUGUUUAUCAUCAAUGCCUGCAUCCAUGGUGGCACUUUACCUACACAGAGGGCCAGGCGGGGGCAGAGUGACAGGUCUAUGGGUAUUGGAGUACAAGGAUUAGCAGAUACCUUUGCUAUGAUGGGGUUGGGAUAUUUUGAUGCAGGGAGUGAGAUACUUGAUCAGAAGAUAGCAGAGACCCUGUAUUUCAAUGCACUCAAUACCAGUAUCAACUUUGUGAAGAUAGGCAAGGGGGAACCCUAUGCUAACUAUGAGCAGAGUAAGCAUUCCAUUGGGGUGCUCCAUUGGCAUGACUGGGACAUGUGUAGCCCCAUGGUCUAUACAAGAGAUGAGUGGGAAGAUUUGGCAAGGUCCUGCGAGGUACAUGGUGUAUACAAUUCACAAUUUGUGGCCUAUAUGCCUACUGCUGGCACUGGGCAAAUCACAGGUUACUCAGACUCCUUCUAUCCAUUUUAUUCAUCCAUGUCAUCCAAGGUGUCAAAUAAAGAAGAAAUCUUGCGACCCAACAUGACCCUCAUGAGCAGAAUGUCAGAUAGUGAGGUCCAGACCCUUAGGGAGUGUAACUGGGAUAUUGCCAAACUUCCAGAGCCCCUGCUGCAGAAAUAUAGAAUUUUCCUGUCAGCCUUUGAUUAUGAACCCAGCCUGUAUGUACGCAGAGCUAUGCUUAGGGCACCAUUCAUUGAUCAGAGCCAGUCUAUGACCUUGUUUUUGAAUGAAGAUUAUGCAAGCAGUGCUUCAAAUAUAAAGAAUUUGUUGAUGUAUGGGUGGGAGUGUGGGUUGAAAACCUUGAUGUACUACUGCAGAAUACGUAAAACAGCAACCUCUAACGAAUUUGAAUGUGUCAGAAGGAAUUCACAACAGAAAUAUGUAAACUGUGCUGAUGGGGAAGGUGCUGGGGGGGAGGAGCCUUCUGAAAAUUGUAUAAAGGCUGAGGGUGCGACGUGUUCACUAUCUGUGGGUGCUUCUUGUCUGCACUGUCAAUAACUGAUUGCUCUCAAUAAAAUCAGUAAAAUUUACCAUGGAUUUUGUCAAAGAAUUUCUUUAUGUGUCUGACCACGCUGGGUUCCUUGAACUGACCACUGAAACAUGGAAGAACAUGUGGUUUCCAUCUCAGAUACCCUUGAGUUCGGAUGUGGCGGGCAUUGCCCAGCUUAAUGAAACAGACAGAGAAUUUUAUAAAUUCUUGUUUGUUUUCUUGGGAUUGGCUGAGAGGCUGGUCAACUUUAACAUCGAGGACCUGGUCAAGGAGUUUAAUUGCCAUGACGCCACUCAUUACUAUGCAGAGCAGAUGGCCAUGGAGAAUAUUCAUGGGAAGGUUUAUGCCAAUAUUCUACAAUUAUUUUUUAAUGGUGACAUGAUGAAGCUGAAGGAGUAUGCAGUAAAGGUGGUGGCUGACCCUACCUUGAAAGCCAAACUUGACUGGCUACAUACCAGGGUCAAGAAUACAAAAACUAGGGCUGAAAAGGUCCUGAUAUUUCUGUUGAUUGAAGGGAUAUUUUUUAUAUCCUCCUUUUACAGCAUCAGUCUCUUCAGAGUGAGGGGGAUGCUUAAUGGGAUCUGUUUGGCCAAUGAUUACAUUUCUAAAGAUGAACUGCUACACACGCGAGCCGCUGCUGUUCUGUACAAUAGUCUAAUACCGGCCAAAGAGCGCCCAGAUGCCGCCUGGAUCAAAAGACUGUUCCAGGAAGCAGUUGAGGUGGAAUAUUCCUUUAUUGCUGCCAAGAGCAAGAACGUGACGCUGGUGGUUCCUGGUGAAAUUAAAAAGUUUUUACAAGCCACCUGUGAUAGAAUUUUGCAGAGUAUUGGGGUGGAGCCAAUCUAUGGCUCCCACGCCCCAGUCACGUGUCCUCUGAGCUACAACGGCUGCAUAAAAAGUGUUAACUUUUUUGAGAGGGAGGGAACUGAUUACUCAACCAAGGUGACUAAUGAUUUGUAAGCAGCGCAGUUUGGAAAGUGAUGUGUGUGCUCUCAUUCCACCCUAUUUAAGAGGGAGACAAACUCUGAGUUGUGCAUCUACUCUUUCUGCUUCUGAGAAGAGCAUUGUUUUAACCCUUUACAAUGCAGACCUUCCAGCUUGACACUGAGCGCCUCUGCCAGGCAGCUAAGCUGUACCAGCACACCAAGUCUGACUUUGGCCUGAAUGGCAUGAUCCAGCUUUCUGGUUCAUGUAAUAAUAUGUCACUAUCUGUACUGGGAUCGAUUGGAGGCUGUGCUAUUCUGAGAUUGGAAUUGUUGGAGGCUGCCCGGCUCCAUUCAUCUAAAGACAGCUCCAAGUCUGCCAUUUACAGCUUUCGUAACGCAAGCUCCCUUGGAAGAGAAUUUACUCAUGGUGGAGAACUCUUUGGCCCCAAAAUGGAAUCUGCCUCCCUGUCUUUUUAUGGCCAUCAUGGAGUGAAAUAUGUGGAGGCACAAUUUGUGCAUGACAGCAGCAGCAAGACUGUACAUACUGCUGCUAUGCAGCCCAUCACCAUACCACCUUCGUGUGCCUUUGAUGAUCGUGAGGCCAAUGGUAUAGUGACAUUGUCAACAAAAACUGCAGCGGCGCUGGUCAAGUGGUUGAAGCAGCAUACAAAAACCUGCCAGUCACCAGUUAAGGUUUCUAUCAGUGAAAUCUUGGGUGUGAUGGUUCUUUCAGUUGGAGAUGCUAGCAUGACUGUUGAUGUCACUCCGGUGAAUGUUUCAUCUGGCAAGAAGACACGGGGUGGGAAUAAGGCUAGUGACUCUGGGACUAUCUCUGCAGACGCAACGGUGCAUGUUAAUGGACAUUGUUUGAUUAGAUCUUUGAUUGUAUGUAAAGUUCCUGGGUGUACAACUCCAAGAGUCAAGUUUCACGCCUGUGGCAUAUUAGAGGUAGAUGGGGCCCCCGUUAAACAGGGCGAGUUGACACAGGUAAAAUUGUCAGUGGCCCUCCUGAACGUGGACUCUUCAACUGGCAGAGUUUUGAAGGAACCUGUGGUGACUGGAGCAAGUAAAGAUCGAGGGGCUUCAAAGUCAGAAGACGCGGACGGUAGCCCUCCAGUACCAGAUCAUCCCAAAGAAUCCCUCACUAGCGACUCUGAUUCCUCAGUUCCUGGGCCACGAAGUACUGACCUUUCCUCUCUUACCCACACCCCUUCAGAUAGAUUUUCGAGCGACCUUAGAUCAGGGUGUGGGGGGCAACAGUUCCUCAAGAGACCACCCCCUAAGAAAGACAGGGAACCCACCACUAAGCGCCCCAAGCUACAUUUUAACCACUUCCCAUAAAUGAAGAGUCAUUGGUCAGACGUGUUCCUCCCACUCAUUGUGGGAGGAAUGUCUGCUGUUCCCUUUAUCUGGUGUUUAAUUUUUAGAACCCUUUACCUACCAAUAGAAUGUGACUGGAGAUGCUGGAUUUUUGUAUAUGGAUCAAUGAUUUGGCACAUAACCAUGUUUAUGUCACUAUUGUUUAAACAUAAACAUGGGAUGAUUGGCUGGUUUAAGUUGUGUAGUGCAGUUGCCAUAUGUCUGAUUAUAGUUUUGGCUCUUUUAGAACAAUACUGCCCAUAUGAGAUGUACAUUGUUCCUGUUAUAUUCAUAAUAAAUAUAGUUUUGCUUUCCA